GGCGGUGUUUGGCACCUCGAUGUCGGCUCAUCACAUCCUGGGGCUGAAGUAGGUCCCAAGGGUAUGGCUGUUCGCCAUUUAAAGUGGUACGCGAGCUGGGUUUAGAACGUCGUGAGACAGUUCGGUCCCUAUCUGCCGUGGGCGCUGGAGAAUUGAGGGGGGCUGCUCCUAGUACGAGAGGACCGGAGUGGACGCAUCACUGGUGUUCGGGUUGUCAUGCCAAUGGCACUGCCCGGUAGCUAAAUGCGGAAGAGAUAAGUGCUGAAAGCAUCUAAGCACGAAACUUGCCCCGAGAUGAGUUCUCCCUGAGACUUUAAGUCUCCUGAAGGAACGUUGAAGACGACGACGUUGAUAGGCCGGGUGUGUAAGCGCAGCGAUGCGUUGAGCUAACCGGUACUAAUGAACCGUGAGGCUUAACCUUACAACGCCGAAG
rnacentral:rRNA from 1 species